CCCGGCUGAUAUUCCCCUCGCACUCCUAUCGGCAUCGAGGUUAAUUUGGAUCACGUUCCCCCGGCUUCCGGUUACAUAUAUAUGGCCCCGCUUUUUCUUAAACUUCUCACCAUCUGUCUUCGAUUUCGUCUGAUCAUUUUGGUGCCAACGGCUGUUACGUCUUCGAAAAUUUAGACUGAUUCGAAUUGCUGAUAUUGGAGGAGGUAGAGAGAAGAGGGACUGAGUGCAUGGGGCACGGGUGAAGAUGGCUCCAGGCGGAGGAGGAAAUAUUAAGGUGGUGGUGAGAGUGCGGCCUUUCAAUGGCCGAGAGCUCGACCGUAAAGCAAAAUGUAUCGUUCAAAUGAAAGGCUCGCAGACCGUACUUACGCCGCCACCAGGAGCAGAAGAAA
rnacentral:sRNA from 2 species